rnacentral:rRNA from 1 species
GAUAAACGCUGGCGGCGUGCAUAACACAUGCAAGUCGAACGAUGAAGAUUAAAAGAUUUCUUCGGAAUGAACUUAAUUGGAUUAGUGGCGGACGGGUGAGUAACGCGUGAGUAACCUGCCUUGUACAAGGGGAUAGCCGUUGGAAACGACGAAUAAUACCCUAUGACAUCAAAUAAUCGCAUGAUAAUUUGAUCAAAGAUUUAUCGGUAUAAGAUGGACUCGCGUCUGAUUAGCUAGUUGGUAGAGUAAAAGCCUACCAAGGCAACGAUCAGUAGCCGGCUUGAGAGAGUGUACGGCCACAUUGGGACUGAGACACGGCCCAGACUCCUACGGGAGGCAGCAGUGGGGAAUUUUGCACAAUGGGGGAAACCCUGAUGCAGCGACGCCGCGUGAUUUAGAAGGCCUUCGGGUUGUAAAAAUCUUUUGUAUGGGAAGAAAAUGACAGUACCAUACGAAUAAGGACCGGCUAAUUACGUGCCAGCAGCCGCGGUAAUACGUAAGGUCCGAGCGUUGUCCGGAAUCAUUGGGCGUAAAGGGUACGUAGGCGGAUAAGCAAGUUAGAAGUUAAAUCCUAUAGCUCAACUAUAGCAAGCUUUUAAAACUGCUCAUCUUGAGGUAUGGAAGGGAAAGUGGAAUUCCUAGUGUAGCGGUGAAAUGCGCAGAUAUUAGGAGGAAUACCGGUGGCGAAGGCGACUUUCUGGCCAUAAACUGACGCUGAGGUACGAAAGCGUGGGUAGCAAACAGG